CCUACGGGUGGCAGCAGUGGGGAACAUUGCACAAUGGGCGCAAGCCUGAUGCAGCCAUGCCGCGUGUGUGAAGAAGGCCUUCGGGUUGUAAAGCACUUUCAGCGGGGAGGAAGGCGUUAAGGUUAAUAACCUUGGCGAUUGACGUUACCCGCAGAAGAAGCACCGGCUACCUCCGUGCCAGCAGCCGCGGUAAUACGGAGGGUGCAAGCGUUAAUCGGAAUUACUGGGCGUAAAGCGCACGCAGGCGGUCUGUCAAGUCGGAUGUGAAACCCCCGGGCUCAACCUGGGAACUGCAUUCGAAACUGGCAGGCUAGAGUCUUGUAGAGGGGGGUAGAAUUCCAGGUGUAGCGGUGAAAUGCGUAGAGAUCUGGAGGAAUACCGGUGGCGAAGGCGGCCCCCUGGACAAAGACUGACGCUCAGGUGCGAAAGCGUGGGGAGCAAACAGGAUUAGAUACCCGGGUAGUC
rnacentral:rRNA from 1 species